UGAGGAAUAUUGGACAAUGGAAGCAAUUCUGAUCCAGCCAUGCCGCGUGCAGGAAGACGGUCCUAUGGAUUGUAAACUGCUUUUAUACAGGAAGAAAAAGAGAGAUUCGUUCUUUUAUUGACGGUACUGUAUGAAUAAGAAUCGGCUAACUCCGUGCCAGCAGCCGCGGUAAUACGGAGGAUUCAAGCGUUAUCCGGAAUCAUUGGGUUUAAAGGGUUCGUAGGCGGGACGAUAAGUCAGUGGUGAAAGUUUGUGGCUUAACCAUAAAAUUGCCAUUGAUACUGUUGUUCUUGAGUUAUUGUGAAGCGGUUAGAAUGUGUAGUGUAGCGGUGAAAUGCAUAGAUAUUACACAGAACACCAAUUGCGAAGGCAUAUCACUAACAAUCAACUGACGCUGAUGAACGAAAGCGUAGGUAGCCAACA
rnacentral:rRNA from 1 species